AGACGAACGCUGGCGGCGUGCUUAACGCAUGCAAGUCGAACGGUAAGGCUCCAGCUUGCUGGGGUACACGAGUGGCGAACGGGUGAGUAACACGUGGGUGACCUGCCCUGCACUUCGGGAUAAGCCUGGGAAACUGGGUCUAAUACCGGAUAGGACCGCACCGUGAGGGUGUGGUGGAAAGUUUUUUCGGUGUGGGAUGGGCCCGCGGCCUAUCAGCUUGUUGGUGGGGUAAUGGCCUACCAAGGCGGCGACGGGUAGCCGGCCUGAGAGGGUGGACGGCCACAUUGGGACUGAGACACGGCCCAAACUCCUACGGGAGGCAGCAGUGGGGAAUAUUGCACAAUGGGCGGAAGCCUGAUGCACCGACGCCGCGUGGGGGAUGACGGCCUUCGGGUUGUAAACUCCUUUCACCAUCGACGAAGGGUUUCUGACGGUAGAUGGAGAAGAAGCACCGGCUAACUACGUGCCACCAGCCGCGGUAAUACGUAGGGUGCGAGCGUUGUCCGGAAUUACUGGGCGUAAAGAGCUCGUAGGUGGUUUGUCGCGUCGUCUGUGAAUUCCGGGGCUUAACUCCGGGCGUGCAGGCGAUACGGGCAUAACUUGAGUACUGUAGGGGAGACUGGAAUUCCUGGUGUAGCGGUGAAAUGCGCAGAUAUCAGGAGGAACACCGGUGGCGAAGGCGGGUCUCUGGGCAGUAACUGACGCUGAGGAGCGAAAGCAUGGGGAGCGAACAGGAUUAGAUACCCUGGUAGUCCAUGCCGUAAACGGUGGGCGCUAGGUGUGGGUUUCCUUCCACGGGAUCCGUGCCGUAGCUAACGCAUUAAGCGCCCCGCCUGGGGAGUACGGCCGCAAGGCUAAAACUCAAAGGAAUUGACGGGGGCCCGCACAAGCGGCGGAGCAUGUGGAUUAAUUCGAUGCAACGCGAAGAACCUUACCUGGGCUUGACAUAUACAGGAUCGCGCCAGAGAUGGUGUUUCCCUUGUGGCUUGUAUACAGGUGGUGCAUGGUUGUCGUCAGCUCGUGUCGUGAGAUGUUGGGUUAAGUCCCGCAACGAGCGCAACCCUUGUCUUAUGUUGCCAGCACGUUGUGGUGGGGACUCGUAAGAAACUGCCGGGGUUAACUCGGAGGAAGGUGGGGAUGACGUCAAAUCAUCAUGCCCCUUAUGCCCAGGGCUUCACACAUGCUACAAUGGUCGGUACAGUGGGUUGCCAGUCCGUGAGGGCGAGCUAAUCCCGCAAAGCCGGUCUCAGUUCGGAUCGGGGUCUGCAACUCGACCCCGUGAAGUCGGAGUCGCUAGUAAUCGCAGAUCAGCAACGCUGCGGUGAAUACGUUCCCGGGGNC
rnacentral:rRNA from 1 species